rnacentral:rRNA from 1 species
UACGUAGGGCGCAAGCAUUAUCCGGAAUUAUUGGGCGUAAAGAGCUCGUAGGCGGUUUGUCGCGUCUGCCGUGAAAGUCCGGGGGCUCAACUCCGGAUCUGCGGUGGGUACGGGCAGACUAGAGUGAUGUAGGGGAGACUGGAAUUCCUGGUGUAGCGGUGAAAUGCGCAGAUAUCAGGAGGAACACCGAUGGCGAAGGCAGGUCUCUGGGCAUUAACUGACGCUGAGGAGCGAAAGCAUGGGGAGCGAACAGG